rnacentral:rRNA from 1 species
GCCAGACUCCUACGGGAGGCAGCAGUGGGGAAUAUUGCACAAUGGGGGGAACCCUGAUGCAGCGACGCCGCGUGAGUGAAGAAGUAUUUCGGUAUGUAAAGCUCUAUCAGCAGGGAAGAAAAUGACGGUACCUGACUAAGAAGCCCCGGCUAACUACGUGCCAGCAGCCGCGGUAAUACGUAGGGGGCAAGCGUUAUCCGGAUUUACUGGGUGUAAAGGGAGCGUAGACGGCAGAGCAAGUCUGAAGUGAAAGCCCGCAGCCCGACUGCGGGACUGCUUUGGAAACUGCCCGGCUAGAGUGCUGGAGAGGUAAGCGGAAUUCCUAGUGUAGCGGUGAAAUGCGUAGAUAUUAGGAGGAACACCAGUGGCGAAGGCGGCUUACUGGACAGUAACUGACGUUGAGGCUCGAAAGCGUGGGGAGCAAACAGGAUUAGAUACCCUAGUA